rnacentral:rRNA from 1 species
CCUACGGGAGGCAGCAGUGAGGAAUAUUGGUCAAUGGUCGCGAGCCUGAACCAGCCAAGUAGCGUGAAGGAUGACUGCCCUACGGGUUGUAAACUUCUUUUAUAAAGGAAUAAAGUGAGGCACGUGUGCCUUUUUGUAUGUACUUUAUGAAUAAGGAUCGGCUAACUCCGUGCCAGCAGCCGCGGUAAUACGGAGGAUCCGAGCGUUAUCCGGAUUUAUUUGGUUUAAAGGGUGCGUAGGUGGGUUGUUAAGUCAGUUGUGAAAGGUUGCGGCUCAAACGUCAAAGUGCAAUUGAUACUGGCAGUCUUGAGUACUGUUGAGGUAGGCGGAAUUCGUGGUGUAGCGGUGAAAUGCUUAGAUAUCACGAAGAACUCCGAUUGCGAAGGCAGCUUACUAACCUGCCACUGACAUUGAUGCUCGAAAGUGUGGGUAUCAAACAGGAUUAGAUACCCGGGUAGUC